GAUGAACGCUGGCGGCGUGCCUAAUACAUGCAAGUCGAGCGAACGGACGAGAAGCUUGCUUCUCUGAUGUUAGCGGCGGACGGGUGAGUAACACGUGGAUAACCUACCUAUAAGACUGGGAUAACUUCGGGAAACCGGAGCUAAUACCGGAUAAUAUUUUGAACCGCAUGGUUCAAAAGUGAAAGACGGUUUGCUGUCACUUAUAGAUGGAUCCGCGCUGCAUUAGCUAGUUGGUAAGGUAACGGCUUACCAAGGCAACGAUGCAUAGCCGACCUGAGAGGGUGAUCGGCCACACUGGAACUGAGACACGGUCCAGACUCCUACGGGAGGCAGCAGUAGGGAAUCUUCCGCAAUGGGCGAAAGCCUGACGGAGCAACGCCGCGUGAGUGAUGAAGGUCUUCGGAUCGUAAAACUCUGUUAUUAGGGAAGAACAUAUGUGUAAGUAACUGUGCACAUCUUGACGGUACCUAAUCAGAAAGCCACGGCUAACUACGUG
rnacentral:rRNA from 1 species